AGCGAACGCUGGCGGCAGGCCUAACACAUGCAAGUCGAACGAAGUCUUCGGACUUAGUGGCGGACGGGUGAGUAACACGUGGGAACGUGCCCUUUGGUACGGAAUAACUCAGGGAAACUUGAGCUAAUACCGUAUGUGCCCUUCGGGGGAAAGAUUUAUCGCCAUUGGAGCGGCCCGCGUCUGAUUAGCUAGUUGGUGAGGUAAAGGCUCACCAAGGCGACGAUCAGUAGCUGGUCUGAGAGGAUGAUCAGCAACAUUGGGCCUGAGACACGGCCCAAACUCCUACGGGAGGCAGCAGUGGGGAAUCUUGCGCAAUGGGCGAAAGCCUGACGCAGCCAUGCCGCGUGAAUGAUGAAGGUCUUAGGAUUGUAAAAUUCUUUCACCGGGGACGAUAAUGACGGUACCCGGAGAAGAAGCCCCGGCUAACUUCGUGCCAGCCGCCGCAGUAACAC
rnacentral:rRNA from 1 species